AAAGUUCAUAAAUUUUAUAACCUUAGAUAUAUAUAUUAGUAUGUUUAUGCAUAUAAUCAACAUUAAUGCAGGUUUUCCAUCUAUACUAGAAAGAGUUAAGUAUAUUCAGGGUAAAGUAUUGAUCAUCAUAGUAUAUGUCAGAGUAUCUCAAUAGUUACUUUUUAAAUGAAUGAAUGAAGUUUUUUGGCUGCGUUUGGUCUUCAUUGCUGCACGCAGGCUUUCUCUAGUUGUGGCGAGCGGGGGCUACUCUUCGUUGCAGGGCGCGGUCUUCUCAUUGCAGUGGCUUCUCUUGUAGCAGAGCAUGAGCUCUAGGUGUGCAGGCUUCAGUAGUUGUGGCACGUGGGCUCAGUAGUUGUGGCUCGCGGGCUCUAUAGCGCAGGCUCAGUAUUUGUGACACACGGGCUUAGUUGCUCCGCGGCAUGUGGGAUCUUCCCAGACCAGAGAUUGAACCCGUGUCCCCUGCAUUGGCAGGUGGAUUCUUAACCACUGCGCCACCAGGGAACCCAUCAAUAGUUACUUUUGAAACGAGUUAUUUAUUAAAAUAAAAUGCACACUAGUGAGAUUCCAUUCCUCAUCCCAUUCCCCCAGCAAGAGGAAUAGUGGUAUAAACUUUUGAGAUGUCAGUGGGGAAAAAACAAAAAAUUUCCCCCCUUUAUAUGACUAUAUCAGAAGUCCUGCCUUUUCUCUAGAGAGGUGGCUAUAAGGAUACAAAUGGCACUGUAUGAAGAGCUGUACUCUCUCUGCUAAGGAAAAGAGGGAAGGAGUUGGCCUGACCUGAUGGCAGGGAGUCUGUAAUGUGCCCCUGGCUGUGCAUGGCGUUUAAGGCUAUGGGGUGGUCAUUCCAUCCUCACCAUAGCACUGAGGCAAGGAGUCUUCUCAUUUUGCAGUUGAGCUACAUGAGGCUCUGAGAAGUCAAGUAGCUUGCCCAGAGUUACUGGACUCGUGUGGGGCAGAGUCGGGAUUCGAAUCAAGGUUUCCUGGUUCCAAGUUCAUUACAUAGCAGCUGUGGGAUUCUUGGUAACUGUAUUCAGAUUCCAAAUACAAACCCAGCAAAACUUCUUU